rnacentral:tRNA from 1 species
GGAGAGUUGGCAGAGUGGUUGAAUGCGGCGGUCUUGAAAACCGUUAAGGAUUUACGUCCUUCUGGGGUUCGAAUCCCUAACUCUCCG